rnacentral:rRNA from 1 species
UACGUAGGUGGCAAGCGUUGUCCGGAAUUAUUGGGCGUAAAGCGUGCGCAGGCGGUUAUGUAAGACAGUUGUGAAAUCCCCGGGCUCAACCUGGGAAUUGCAUCUGUGACUGCAUAGCUAGAGUACGGUAGAGGGGGAUGGAAUUCCGCGUGUAGCAGUGAAAUGCGUAGAUAUGCGGAGGAACACCGAUGGCGAAGGCAAUCCCCUGGACCUGUACUGACGCUCAUGCACGAAAGCGUGGGGAGCAAACAGG